rnacentral:rRNA from 1 species
GACGAACGCUGGCGGCGUGCUUAACACAUGCAAGUCGAGCGGAGCGGCGAACGGGAGAGUAACGCGUGCGUAACUGCCCCCCUCUCUGGGCUAACAGUUGGAAACGGAUGCUAAUACCGGAAAGUGUGGGAUGCCUCGCGUUCUACCAGCUUGUUGGUGGGGUAGGGGAGUGCCAAGGAGACGACGGGUAGCCGGCCUGGGAGGGCGACCGGGCACAUGUGUCAGAGACAGGGCCCAAAGGCCAUCGGGGGGCAGCAGUGGGGAAUAGUGCACAAUGGGGGAAGCCAGGAUGCAGCAACGCCGCGUGCGGGAGGACGGCUGUUGGGGUGUAACCCGGUUUCAGCCAUGACGCGGUAGUUGCAGAGGAAGCACCGGCUAACUACGUGCCAGCAGCCGCGGUAAUAC